CGAUGAAGUCCUUUUGCAGAUCAGUGAUUGCAAUUAUCUUUGGCAUGACAGUGAUCCUUUCAUUUAGGGUAAUGUCCGAAGCUAGGUCAUACCCUUCUACACCCUUUCUUUCCCAAUCUCAUUCUCAUUCACUCUUUCUGCAAAGAGAAGGACACAAAAUAAUUCAGAAGCGUGUGGUAGCUGCUAGUCUUAAAUCGAUACCAAAACCAAUACCAAAUCCUACACAGAACAAAUUGAAGCCAAGCAAAAGGAGCUAAGAAGAGGAAGCUAUGGCAUGAACUGUAGGUGUUGUUUUCAGGGUUUUAAUGUUUCUGAAGCUUCUAUUCUUAGGUUUGUUAGUGAGAGAGAAUGGUACAGUUCUUGACCUGAGAAUUUAGUUUGGUCUUUAUGUUAUCUUAUGUUGAUGUUUUUCUAUUGCAGAGAGUGUAUGAGCCUAUAAUGUAAUGGAGAAAAUUAUAAUAAGCAUUGUUGAUGGUGAAAAUUUGUUUUAAGCUCAUUUUCAAAGAUUUUUAAGUCUAGUGAAA